CCGCGCUGCACCGAAUCAGCUGGAGCAUCACCCAGCCUUCUCUCCUGAUUUGGGAAGAGAUAAUGCAAGGGAACCUGAGGAAGGUGAAGAAGGAGAUGCAAAGAGGAGGAGCUUCAUACAGUUAA